GGAAGGAUCAUUAUCGAGCGUGGCUCGUAUAGAGAGAGUUUGAAUUGGGUUUGCUGGUGGAUUCAUACGGUAGGCGCUUUGCGCAAUCCCGUUCCAGCAAGCUAACAGAUUCAUUUCUAGCCGUAUUGUGGUGGUUUUGUAGUUGGUAUUAGAGAGCUACCAACCUGUUCCAUAUAGCAAAACUACUAACGGUACACAGUCUAGAUUUGUUUCUAAGCCACUUUGGGUACCUAUCUGGUAUGGCUCGUAGUUUUGGCAGGCUACGCGAUAGGUCAUACUAGAGACCGUUUUCGAACGGUUAGGUUUAAUGAGUUUUCAGUGUUAUAUGGCGGUGUGAGUUGCACACACCGUAAGCUCGCUUGUGAACGGAUUUUUGUUCACCACUGAAAGCCGCCCACAAACUCCUUUUAAACUAUUUUAAUAUGUAAUUAGAUUUGGCUUGCCAUUUCUAUAAAAAAAUCAUUCCAAGCGGUGGAUCACUUGGCUCGUGGGUCGAUGAAGAACGCAGCUAGCUGCGUGAAUUAAUGUGAAUUGCAGACACAUUGAACAUCGACAUUUCGAACGCACAUUGCGGCUUUGGGUUUUCCCGAAGCUACGCCUGUCUGAGGGUCGCAUUUGUGACAGCAUAUGGUGUCUUACCCGUAUAACGGAUUGUGGUUAUACUGAUUCUAGACGCCAAAUUGGAUUGCUGACGUUGGGAUUUCUGAUAGUGGAUUGUUACUAUCAAAUCAACGUUACCAGUCUCGAGAAAUGACUAGUGGCCAUAGGAUUGUUUAUGGCUAUACUAAAAACCUUUCGGUGUGAUCAGACACGUGAGUCUGUUCCUGUUGCGUGAUUUUUUGCGACUUGGAACUAAAUAGUGUCACUAGCCGAAGCGGUUUCAUUUUUCGACCUCAGAUCAGACGUGAGUACCCGCUGAAUUUAAGCAUAUUAAUAGGCGGAGGAAAAGAAACUAACAAGGAUUCCCAUAGUAACGGCGAGUGAACUGGGAUAGGCUCAGCGCUGAAUCUUACAGUUUAAGACUGUCAAGAAUUGUAGCGUUUAGGUAACCUUUUCUGGUUUAGUCAAGCUUUCUGAGUCCCCUUGAACGGGGCCACUGCCCAGAGCGGGUGCAAGGCCCAUUCGAAAGUAGACUAUAUCAGUAUGAGGUAUACCUUAGAGUCGGGUUGCUUGAGAGUGCAGCCCAAAUGCGUGGUAAACUCCAUGCAAAGCUAAAUACCACCACGAGACCGAUAGCAAACAAGUACCGUGAGGGAAAGUUGCAAAGAACUUUGAAGAGAGAGUUAAAAGGGCGUGAAACCGCUUGGAAGUAAACGGGUGGAGCUGCAAUGCAGUCUACAGAAUUCAAUUUAUCGGGCGUAUAUCGAGUGGUAAGCGAUCGUAAGACGUGAACUAUUCGUUUGUGCGUUUCGGUGAGUGUAUUUUCUGUAGACGAGCGUCACGACCGAUUGAUCCGCUAACAGAACGGUGAAAUGACUGCGGACUGUUACUUCGGUAUCAGUUGCCCAUCAAUCACCCUGUUUGAGUCGGAACGAUCGAGUAUAGACCGCGUCGGAUUGUCGCAUGCGUUUUGAUAUAUGGGUUGAAUUUAUAACUUACAAGGCAUGCUUGCAUGACUUGUAGACCCUCAACUCAGACUGUCUUUACGUUUUGCAUUGACGCAUAUGGUCUGUGACGUCUGUGUCAGUCUCCCACCCGACCCGUCUUGAAACACGGACCAAGGAGUCUAACAUGUGCGCAAGUCAUUGGGUUUAAAACCCAAAGGCGAAAUGAAAGUGAAGCUUGGUGGGAUUCCUAGUCUGCGGACUUGGACGCACCACCGUCCCGUCUGAUCUGCUUGUCAGAUAGGCGGAGAAAGAGCGUACACGUUGGGACCCGAAAGAUGGUGAACUAUGCCUGAGCAGGAUGAAGCCAGAGGAAACUCUGGUGGAAGUCCGUAGCGGUUCUGACGUGCAAAUCGAUCGUCAGACUUGGGUAUAGGGGCGAAAGACUAAUCGAACCAUCUAGUAGCUGGUUCCCUC
rnacentral:misc_RNA from 1 species